CUUUGUUUUUAAACCAGACUUGGACCAGACAAUCCUUCAUACAGAAGACUCCUUCAAACAGGGGACUGUUGUGGCCACCCUACAACAAAAUGUUGCAUCAUGGAAUGCUCCUGUUCAAGGUGGAUGGGUCAGAAAACAGAGUUUCUGAAGCUGAUUGUGAAGACCAGCUGUGUUGCAGUGCUAACCUGAAACAGACCAGCGUGGGUAUUCGCUUUGCUAAGGAGAAAGUGACCAGCAUGGAUCUUUGCUUCGCUAAGGAAGCCGUAUAAACACUCUGCAAGCAAAUCAGGAUGAAUGUUCAUUGUCGUAUAACUCCCCCAUAAACAAAUCAGAAAGAAUGUUUCAGCACCUUGGACAGCUCCUUAAAAGUUCUGACUAAAACCCGGAGGAGACCCACUGACAUGGAGCCACCAGCCGCCACUGCUCUGUGCAAGCUUUGCACAAACAAAUGAGGACACAUGCUGACUAAACCAGUUGCCUGGAUGAGCCCUUUAACUCUGACUUUCCUCCAUCCACCCUAGCAUUGAUGCUCUAGUGGGAAACCAGCUGUGAGAUGAGAGUCUUGGGUCAAAUAUUCAUUUUUUUCUAUUUUUUAAAUUUUCAUUUCAAAAAUACAAUUCAUUAAGAACCAAGUAGAACAGAUUAAUUUUUUUAAAAGGAGAAAAAUGGGGAAAAGAAAAGGGGCAAAAUCCCCAAAGAGAGCUAAAACGAGUUUACAAACUGUAAUUACAAUCAGAAUAGAGCAAAAUUCCACAUACAUAAACAAAGUUUUUUUCCCUUCUUUAUUUAGAGCAUUACAGGUGUGUUAAAUUACUUUAACAAUUUUCCAUGUAUCCAGGAAAACAGACUUUACAGUUGACUAGCUGACCUCAUUUCUCAUUUCCUUUUCCCAAAUGUUCAUGACUUUUCUUAUUGGAUAGUGGUGACUGAGGUGUCAGAUUUAAUUCUUCACUCUUUUUUUGAGAAGGCGCUCUUAUUUGUAUGGAAAACUGCUAGAAAUUCUUAAUGUGUAGGUCAAGAGAAUAGGCUUCUGUAUGUGUGUAUCUUACUUUGUUUCUUUGCAAACUUAUGUUGGAAAACCUGUACUCUGGAUUCCCAAGAAGAUGGCAAAUUCUUUUAUUUAUUUAUAGUAUAAAUUUAUCAGUCUUUUUUAUUUACAGGAGUUUUCAAAGCAACAUGCAAUCAUGAAACAAAAUAAAAUGAAGCCAGCUAGUCUCUCCCACCAGUCUCACUAACUUAAAAGAAA